CGGUCCAUCCUAAUUCCUGCCGGUCAGCCUGUGACCUGCCAGGUUUCGCUUGUGGACCAGAGCACCCUAGAAGCCUUACCCAGAGGAGUGAGCGGGGUUUCGGUGGGCUCAUGCCACGGGCGCUUCUAGACAGCC
ensembl:snoRNA SNORA52 small nucleolar RNA, H/ACA box 52